AACUUUUAGCAACGGAUCACUUGGCUCUCGCAUCGAUGAAGAACGCAGCGAAACGCGAAAUGUAAUGUGAAUUGCAGAACCUCCCUGAAUCAUCGAAUCUUUGAACGCAUCUUGCGCUCGAUGGUAUUCCGUCGAGCAUGUCUGUUUGAGUGUCGUCAACCUCUCAAAACUUGGGUUUUAGUACCGGAAGUUUUGGACCUUGGGUCGCCGGUGGGUUCAUUUCUACCGACCCGGAAGUCAGUAAUACGGUCGCCAUCAUUAUCGCACCGGGUGUUGUAGGGUUCUCAUCAAACCUCGCUCGGGUCGGGAUCUUGAUCGACCUUUUAAUUCGAACUGAUACUUCGAUGAUAAUUCUUUUGACCUCAAAUCAGGCAGGAUUACCCGCUGAACUUAAGCAUAUCAAUAAGCGGAGGCU
rnacentral:misc_RNA from 1 species